ACGGGAGUAGAACUAACAGGAUUCCCCUAGUAACUGCGAGUGAAGCGGGAAAAGCUCAAAUUUAAAAUCUGGCGGUCUUUGGCUGUCCGAGUUGUAGUCUGGAGAAGCGUUUUCCGCGCUGGACCGUGUACAAGUCCCUUGGAAUAGGGCGUCAUAGAGGGUGAGAAUCCCGUCUUUGACACGGACUACCAGUGCUUUGUGAUGCGCUCUCAAAGAGUCGAGUUGUUUGGGAAUGCAGCUCAAAAUGGGUGGUAAAUUCCAUCUAAAGCUAAAUAUUGGCGAGAGACCGAUAGCGAACAAGUACCGUGAGGGAAAGAUGAAAAGCACUUUGGAAAGAGAGUUAAACAGUACGUGAAAUUGCUAAAAGGGAAACGCUUGAAGUCAGUCGCGUUAUGCAGAACUCAGCCUGGCUUUUGCUUGGUGUAUUUUCUGUAUGACGGGCCAGCAUCAAUUUUGGCCGCUGGAAAAAGGCCUCAGAAAUGUGGCACCUUCGGGUGUGUUAUAGUCUGAGGUCAUAUACAGCGGCUGGGAUUGAGGUCUGCAGCACGCCUUUAUGGCUGGGGUUCGCCCACAUUCGUGCUUAGGAUGCUGGCGUAAUGGCUUUAAACGACCCGUCUUGAAACACGGACCAAGGAGUCUAACAUGCCUGCGAGUGUUUGGGUGGAAAACCCGAGCGCGCAAUGAAAGUGAAAGUUGAGAUCCCUGUCGUGGGGAGCAUCGACGCCCGGACCAGACCUUUUGUGACGGAUCUGCGGUAGAGCAUGUAUGUUGGGACCCGAAAGAUGGUGAACUAUGCCUGAAUAGGGUGAAGCCAGAGGAAACUCUGGUGGAGGCUCGUAGCGAUUCUGACGUGCAAAUCGAUCGUCAAAUUUGGGUAUAGGGGCGAAAGACUAAUCGAACCAUCUAGUAGCUGGUUCCUGCCGAG
rnacentral:rRNA from 1 species